rnacentral:rRNA from 1 species
GACGAACGCUGGCGGCGUGCUUAACACAUGCAAGUCGAGCGGUAAGGCCCUUUCGGGGGUACGACGAGCGGCGAACGGGUGAGUAACACGUGGGUGACCUGCCCUCAGCUCUGGGAUAAGCCUGGGAAACCGGGUCUAAUACCGGAUAUGACUCCAUGACGCAUGUUGUGGGGUGGAAAGCCUUGUGCGGCUGAGGAUGGGCCCGCGGCCUAUCAGCUUGUUGGUGGGGUGAGGCCUACCAAGGCGACGACGGGUAGCCGGCCUGAGAGGGCGACCGGCCACACUGGGACUGAGACACGGCCCAGACUCCUACGGGUGGCAGCAGUCGAGAAUUUUUCUCAAUGGGCGCAAGCCUGAAGGAGCGACGCCGCGUGGAGGAUGAA